rnacentral:rRNA from 1 species
CAGCCGCCGCGGUAAUGCGAAGGGUGCAAGCGUUAAUCGGAAUUACUGGGCGUAAAGCGUGCGUAGGUGGUGAGUUAAGUCUGCUGUGAAAUCCCCGGGCUCAACCUGGGAAUGGCAGUGGAUACUGGCUCGCUAGAGUGUGUCAGAGGAUGGUGGAAUUCCCGGUGUAGCGGUGAAAUGCGUAGAGAUCGGGAGGAACAUCAGUGGCGAAGGCGGCCAUCUGGGACAACACUGACGCUGAGGCACGAAAGCGUGGGGAGCAAACAGGAUUAGAUACCCCCGUAGUCCCUGUCUCUUAUAA